AUUGAACGCUGGCGGCAGGCCUAACACAUGCAAGUCGAGCGGAGCGGCGGAGGGGUGAGUAAUGCCUAGGAAUCUGCCUGGUAGUGGGGGAUAACGUUCGGAAACGGGCGCUAAUACCGCAUACUAUCAGCAGAGCCUAGGUCGGAUUAGCUAGUUGGUGGGGUAAGGGCCUACCAAGGUGACGAUCCUUAACCGGUCUGAGAGGAUGACCAGUCACACUGGAACUGAGACACGGUCCAGACUCCUACGGGAGGCAGCAGUGGGGAAUAUUGGACAAUGGGCGAAAGCCUGAUCCAGCCAUGCCGCGUGUGUGAAGAAGGUCUUCGGAUUGUAAAGCACUUUAAGUUGGGAGGCGUUACCAACAGAAUAAGCACCGGCUAACUUCGUGCCAGCCGCCGCGGUAAUUC
rnacentral:rRNA from 1 species